rnacentral:rRNA from 1 species
CAGCCGCCGCGGUAAUACGUAGGGGGCGAGCGUUGUCCGGAAUUAUUGGGCGUAAAGAGCGUGUAGGCGGUUCGGUAAGUCUGCCGUGAAAACCUGGGGCUCAACCCCAGGCGUGCGGUGGAUACUGCCGGGCUAGAGGGUGGUAGAGGCGAGUGGAAUUCCCGGUGUAGCGGUGAAAUGCGCAGAUAUCGGGAGGAACACCAGUAGCGAAGGCGGCUCGCUGGGCCAUACCUGACGCUGAGACGCGAAAGCGUGGGGAGCAAACAGGAUUAGAUACCCUGGUAGUCCACGCCGUAAACGAUGAACACUAGGUGUGGGCGGAGUCGAAUCUGUCCGUGCCGCAGCCAACGCGUUAAGUGUUCCGCCUGGGGAGUACGGCCGCAAGGCUAAAACUCAAAUGAAUUGACGG